GAUGAAGAACGCAGUGAAAUGCGAUACGUAAUGUGAAUUGCAAAUUCAGUGAAUCAUCGAGUCUUUGAACGCACAUUGCGCCCCCUGGUAUUCCGGGGGGCAUGCCUGUCCGAGCGUCAUUGCUGCCCUCAAGCACGGCUUGUGUGUUGGGCCCCGUCCUCCGAUCCCGGGGGACGGGCCCGAAAGGCAGCGGCGGCACCGCGUCCGGUCCUCGAGCGUAUGGGGCUUUGCCACCCGCUCUGUAGGCCCGGCCGGCGCUUGCCGAUCAACCCAAAUUUUUAUCCAGGUUGACCUCGGAUCAGGUAGGGAUACCCGCUGAACUUAAGCAUAUCAAUAAGCGGAGGA
rnacentral:misc_RNA from 1 species